GACGAACGCUGGCGGCGUGCCUAAUACAUGCAAGUCGAACGAGUGGCGGACGGGUGAGUAACACGUGGGAACCUACCCAUCAGAGGGGGAUAACUACUGGAAACGGUAGCUAAUACCGCAUACCAUCGGAUGUGCCGAGAUGGGAUUAGCUAUUAGGGGGGGUAACGGCUCACCUAGGCGACGAUCCCUAGCUGGUCUGAGAGGAUGACCAGCCCAACUGGAACUGAGACACGGUCCAGACUCCUACGGGAGGCAGCAGUGGGGAAUAUUGCACAAUGGGCUCAAGCCUGAUACAGCCAUGCCGCGUGUAUGAAGAAGUCCUUCGGGUUGUAAAGUACUUUCAGCGGGGAGGCGUUACCCGCAGAAGAAGCACCGGCUAACUCCGUGCCAGCAGCCGCGGUAAUUC
rnacentral:rRNA from 1 species